CUGAAAACAGUCCAGUUGCAAUGAAUUCAAGGCCUUGGGAAUGAAAUUAAAACAGAUUUAUGAGACUACACACAAGCAGACUUCAUGUAGACAGGCUGUGAGUAGACACAGUGAUGAUCGCCCCAGGGUGAAUUUAAUGCACAUCGCAUCUGGAGCCAAUUGGACGACAGCAGAACCUUCAAAGUCGAACACGAUCUCUUCUAGGAUGCUGGUUGUGGAAAAGCAGCUGCAGACUUGGCAGGGCACGGCCUCACCAAGAGCAGGAUCCCCACCUUGUCACAGCACCUCUGGAAGAACAAAGGGAAACAUGGGAAAAUAGUGCGCCGGGUCCACGUUGGCCGACAGACCGUUUGGCUCACAUCGGCCCAGCUCGACGGCUCCGAGAUGACUUUGGCCCGUGGGGCUGAGAGGAAGAUGGACACAAAAUAUUAUGAUUUUCAGAAGCAUCUCCUGACACUGUCAUUUUCACAAGGUGUUGCACAACUUUUGCCAGGCUCUCAACAAAUAACCAAUCGCAAGACAAAGAAACGUCGAUAGAUAACAGAAGAGGAGCGCAUUGUAUAAAGUUCAAAACAUCAAAUUGCUGUGCCGAACGAGACGCAGUGGGAGGUUGUACAAACGACGGCUGUGCUUAAUUUAUGGUAUAGACCAGCUGCAUAAAUAUUCGAGUAGAAAAAGUAUGCUGUGUUACAUGUGUGUGACGUUUCCAAAGUAAAUGCAAGGCAGCCCACUCGCUCUUCCUGCCCCCCCCACCACACCCUCCAUCCGCAGCGCACCAUGCGUCCCGUUGAGCAGAUGAGGAGAACACACAGUGCAGCUGUGCACGAUGUGAUGAGAGAUACAAGAAAAAGUUGCUCAUAAAGCACAAGCGGGACGGGCGGCCAUGUGUCAUGUAAAGUGUGUGCCUGGAGGAGGCAGCACAUCAUUUCCUCAACAGGAUGGAAUUUCGUGGCUUUCCUUUAUGAAUCAGUUUAACAUCGCUUAUUUCUCGUUAUGAUUUCCCUCUAAAAGGCAUUUUGUUUUGAAUUCAAACAUGAUAUUCUUGUGCUAUUGAGUUUUUCUUGAAAAUUGCACUUUCUCGUAAAUGAUGUUUUUUCUCUAAUUACUUAUGUGGU